GAUGAAGAACGCAGCGAAAUGCGAUAAGUAAUGUGAAUUGCAGAAUUCAGUGAAUCAUCGAAUCUUUGAAAGCACAUUGCGCCCCUUGGUAUUCCGAGGGGCAUGCCUGUUCGAGCGUCAUUAUAACCCCUCAAGCUCAGCUUGGUGUUGGGGCCUGCUGCACUGGCAGCCCUUAAAAUCAGUGGCGGCGCCAUCUGGCUCUAAGCGUAGUAAUUCUUCUCGCUAUGGAGUCCUGGUGGAUGCUUGCCAUCAACCCCCAAUUUUUCUAUGGUUGACCUCGGAUCAGGUAGGGAUACCCGCUGAACUUAAGCAUAUCAAUAAGCGGAGGA
rnacentral:misc_RNA from 1 species